GCGAAUCGCCCUUCGGGGUGCACCAGGCGCGAAAACUUUACAAUGCCUGCAACGGCAAUCAGGGAACCUCGAGUGCCAGGUUACUAAUCUGGCUGUCGUGAUGCCUAAAAAGCAUUGCAUACCAAGGGCCGGGCAAUACCGGUGCCAACCGCCGCGGUAACACCGGCGGCUCGAGUGGUAACCGUUUAUUAUUGGGUCUAAAGGGUCUGUACCCGGCCGGGUAAGUCUCUUGGGAAAUCUGGCAGCUUAACUGAUCAAGCUUUCAGGAGAUACUGUCUGGCUCGAGGCCGGGAGAGGUGAGAGGUACUUCAGGGGUAGGGGUGAAAUCUUGUAAUCCUUGAAAGACCACCAGUGGAGAAAGCGUCUCACCAGAACGAACCUGACGGCCAGGGACCAAAGCUAGGGGCACGAACACGGAUUAUAUACCCGGGUAGUCCUAGCCGUAAACGAUACUCGCUAGGUGUCGGCCACUGUGCAACCGUGGUCGGUGCCCUACGGAAGACGUGAAUCGAGCCACCUGGGAAGUACUGUCGCGAGGUUGAAACUUAAAGGA
rnacentral:rRNA from 1 species